rnacentral:rRNA from 1 species
CCUACGGGUGGCAGCAGUGGGGAAUCUUCCGCAAUGGGCGAAAGCCUGACGGAGCAACGCCGCGUGAUCGAUUGAAGGCCUUCGGGUUGUAAAGAUCUGUUGACAGGGACGAAUAAGCAACGCGUAUAGUUUUGUGUAUGACGGUACUUGUUGAGAAAGCUCUGUCUAACUACGGGCCAGCAGCCGCGGAAAUACGUAGGGAGCAAGCGUCGUCCGGAAUUACUGGGCGUAAAGGGCGCGUAGGUGGUCGCUUAAGUCAGGUGUGAAAGCUCCGGGCUCAACCUGGAGACUGCACUUGAUACUGGGUGUCUUGAGGGCAGGAGAGGUAGGUGGAAUUCCUGGUGUAGCGGUGAAAUGCGUAGAUAUUAGGAAGAACCCCGAUGGCGAAGGCGGCUUUCUGAACUGUAACUGACGCUGAGGCGCGAAAGCGUGGGUAGCGAACGGGAUUAGAUACCCGAGUAGUC